UACGGAGGAUGCAAGCGUUAUCCGGAAUGAUUGGGCGUAAAGCGUCCGCAGGUGGCAAUGUAAGUCUGCUGUCAAAGCGUCUGGCUCAACCAGAUAAAAGCAGUGGAAACUACAUAGCUAGAGUACGUUCGGGGCAGAGGGAAUUCCUGGUGUAGCGGUGAAAUGCGUAGAGAUCAGGAAGAACACCGGUGGCGAAGGCGCUCUGCUAGGCCGUAACUGACACUGAGGGACGAAAGCUAGGGGAGCGAAUGGG
rnacentral:rRNA from 1 species